rnacentral:rRNA from 1 species
UACGUAGGGUGCGAGCGUUACUCGGAAUUACUGGGCGUAAAGCGUGCGCAGGCGGUUUUGUAAGCCAGUUGUGAAAUCCCCGGGCUUAACCUGGGAAUGGCAUUUGGGACUGCAAGGCUCGAGUGCGGCAGAGGAGACUGGAAUUCCUGGUGUAGCAGUGAAAUGCGUAGAUAUCAGGAGGAACACCUGUGGCGAAGGCGGCCCCCUGGUUGGAUACUGACGCUGAUACGCGAAAGCGUGGGGAGCAAACAGG